UUUGUCCAGUUGCUUCUGUUUUGGAAAUUCUUUCAGAGCCAGCUAGAUCAACAAGGGUGAGCRUUCCAUGUGAUAUGGAGUUUGAAAUUUGGUCAACGCCCUUGAUGUUGAGGAUCAAGACCAGAUGUGAAAGAGCUGCUGGAUGGAUCGCAUGUUGACACCAGGAUUAGAGACUGUACCCAUCAUGGUGUAUGUCUUUCCUGAACCUGUUGUGGUAAUUCUCAAGCAGAAUUUUCAUAUUGAAGCAACUCUUGAAGCACAGGAGAGAAUAAACCAUAUCAGAAGCAACAUGUUUGAACAUAUAUGAGAUGGCAGGUUUGAGGAUUGAACCCAACGACCACAGUGGUGAGAGGCAGUAUAUAUUAGAAGUUAGUUAAAAUAUCUUACACUGAUAAGAAGUUGUCAUUAAAAACCUAGCUAACUUACCUGUUUGACCAUAUGCCAUUAUACAAACA